AUUGAACGCUGGCGGCAGGUCUAACACAUGCAAGUCGAGCGGAAACGAUCCUAGCUUGCUAGGAGGCGUCGAGCGGCGGACGGGUGAGUAACGCGUGAGAAUCUACCCAUGAGUGGGGGACAACCCGGGGGAAACUCGGGCUAAUACCGCAUACGCCCUACGGGGUAGAGCAGGGGACCUUCGGGCCUUGCGCUGAUGGAUGAGCUCGCGUCGGAUUAGCUUGUUGGUGAGGUAAAGGCUCACCAAGGCGACGAUCCGUAGCUGGUCUGAGAGGAUGAUCAGCCACACCGGGACUGAGACACGGCCCGGACUCCUACGGGAGGCAGCAGUGGGGAAUCUUGGACAAUGGGGGCAACCCUGAUCCAGCCAUGCCGCGUGUGUGAAGAAGGCCUUCGGGUUGUAAAGCACUUUCAGCAGGGAGGAAGGCUUACCCCUAAUACGGGUGAGUACUUGACGUUACCUGCAGAAGAAGCACCGGCUAAUUUCGUG
rnacentral:rRNA from 1 species